UUGGAGGGCAAGUCUGGUGCCAGCAGCCGCGGUAAUUCCAGCUCCAAUAGCGUAUAUUAAAGUUGUUGCAGUUAAAAAGCUCGUAGUUGAAUUUCGGGGUCAGUAGGUUGGUCAUGCCACUGGUAUGUACUGGUCUCACUGAUUCCUCCUUCCUGAUGAGCCGUAAUGCCAUUAAUUUGGUGUUGCGAGGAAUCUGGACUGUUACUUUGAAAAAAUUAGAGUGUUUAAAGCAGGCUAACGCUUGAAUACAUUAGCAUGGAAUAAUGAAAUAGGACGUUCGAUCUUAUUUUGUUGGUUUCUAAGAUUGACGUAAUGAUUAAUAGGGAUAGUUGGGGGCAUUAGUAUUCAAUUGUCAGAGGUGAAAUUCUUGGAUUUAUUGAAGACUAACUACUGCGAAAGCAUUUGCCAAGGAUGUUUUCAUUAAUCAAGAACGAAAGUUAGGGGAUCGAAGACGAUCAGAUACCGUCGUAGUCUUAACCAUAAACUAUGCCGACUAGGGAUCGGAUGAUGUUAAUUUUUUAGUGACUCAUUCGGCGCCUUACGGGAAACCAAAGUGUUUGGGUUC
rnacentral:rRNA from 1 species